rnacentral:rRNA from 1 species
GCCAUUCGGCGUGCUACUCAUGCAGUCGAGCGACUCAUCAGAAUCUUGCUCCUACGACUGUAGUCACACGAGGGAUCAUGCCCUCUUGUUCGAACUACCUUAUGGAUUGUUAUGACUCCAGGAAAUCUGCCCUUCUACCGAAUGAUCUGUCUCCUCUCGAGCGGACCCACUCAGAUACGGUUUCUGCUGACGCUAUGGGACGGGCCCGCGACGAUUUAUCUAUGUGGUGAGGUGACGACUCACCACGGCGACAAUGCGUCGCCGACCUGACACGGUGAUCAGGCACCCUGGGACUGACACGCGGCCCGGACUCCUACCGGAGGCAGCCGUGCGGAAUCUUCCACAAUGGGCUAAAGCCUGAUGGAUCCUCUCCGCGUGAAUGAUGAUGGAUUUCCGUUCAUAAAACUCUGCUGUUAGGUAAGAGCCAGUACCCUAGUAACUGGCUGUGCCUUGACCGGUCCUUAUAAUAAAGGCACGGCUAACUACGCUGCCGCAGCCUCGGUAAUACGUAGUGUGGCUCGCGUUGUCGCGGAAUUAUUGUGCGUUUAGCGCGCGCAGGUGGGUUCUUAAGUCUGAUGUGAAGGCCCACGGCUCGACCGUGGAGGGUCAUUGGAAUCUGGAAGACUUGAGUGCACAAGAGGAUAGCGCAGUUCCAUGUGUGACGCUGAGGUGCGUAGAGAUUUGGAGGAACACCAGUUGCGAAGGAGUCUAUCUGGUCUCUGACUGGCAGUGAGGCGCGAAAGUGUGGGGAGCAAACAGGACUAGAUAGCGUGGUAGUCCACCCCGUAAACGAUGCGUGGUAAUUCUUAGGGGGUUUCCGCCCCUUAGGGCGGCAGGUAACGCACUAAGCACUCCGCCUGGGGAGUCCGGUAGCAAGACUCAAACUCAAAGGAAUCGCCGGGGGCCCGCUCAAGCGGUGGAGCAUGUGGCCUCACUAGAAGCAACGCGAAGAGCCUUACCAGGUCUUGCCAUCCCGUCUACCCCUGUAGAGAUCUAGUCUCCCCUUCCGGGGCAACGGGGACAGCCGGUGCAUGGUUGUGGUCCGCUCGUGUCGUGAGAGUUGUCGGUAAGUCCCGCAACGAGCGCAACCCUGGAUCUCAGCGGCCAUCACCCAGUUCGGCACUCUAAGCCGACUGCCGGGGACAAACCGGAGGAAGGCGGGGAUGAAGCCAAAUCAUCAUGCCCAUUAUGACAUGGCCUCCACACCUGCUCCAAUGGGCGAUCCCACCGGUUGCCAACUCGCGAGAGGGAGCUAAUCCGAUAAAGUUGUUCUCAGUUCGGAUUGUAGUCUGCAACUCGCGGACAUGAAGCCGGAAUCGCUAGUAAUCGCGGAUCAGCAUGCCGCGGUGAAUACGUUCCCGGGCCUUGUACCCCCCGCCCGUCACACCAUCGAGAGUGUGUAUCACCGGAGGUGGGUGAGGUAACCUUUGAGCCCAGCGGCCGACAGAUGUUUGGCGAG